rnacentral:lncRNA from 10 species
UAUGGGCCAGCAGGCACAACUGGACACUGCUGCUCUACUCCUGACCAGUGCUUUCUCAUAUGCUAGUCACUGGCUGAACGCGGCCGCUGAGCAGUCGAAAGUAGACUAGUCUGAAUUGAAAUGUGCGGCCACUGAGAUUUUCAGACACAAACCAAGAGGAUUGAAAAGAUCUCAUUUUAGGGGAAAAAAAAACUAAAGAGGGGAUUUCAAAGGCAUAUACCCUGUUCUUUAUUACAGUGGGAAGUCCCAUGGACCGAAUUCAAUUGUCCUAUGAAGCGGAACUUUCGUCCUAAAAAUCAGAAGUAGCUGGUGUUGGACUCAACAUGAUCCCAAACUCACCUAAUAGCUGCCUCUGAGAAUGCAAUUUUCAGUCAGGAGCACAAGAGAAGUGCUCAUUAAAAGUGCUCAUGGAACUUCAUUAAAAGUUCCAUGUUUGGCCAAAACCCCAGAAAAAAAAAAUCAGUCAGUAUUUUCAAGGUCCCACCUGGCUUGGUUCAUCAUCCACAAUGAAACGAUUGAAAAAAAUGCAUGUGCCUGACCCAGGUUCUUACUCAUAAUGUUUCUGUCUGAAAUGUGAAGUUGCUGUCACCUGCCUGUAGACAGAAUAUUUAAAAACGAGAGUUCAUGGUUUUAGUUGAGACU